rnacentral:lncRNA from 1 species
GCAGGUGUCCGAUCCUAAAUCAAAUGUCUUCUUGACAGAUAAAAGUAAGAAAAGGGUAAGUCACCAAGCACAUGUAUAACCAAACUCAAAUACAAAUAAAUAGAACGUAAUAUAUAAAUCAUAGUAACACUAACAAUUGUAUAACCAGUACCGAACAGAUCUAAAGCAUCAUAGAGGUUUCAACAGAGGUAGUACAGUAGAACAAAGAAAAACAGAACAGAAACAAAUAGAGCAGAACAAAACAAGAUGGAACAGAGCAGAACAUAACAAAACGGAGCAUAGCAGAACAGAACAUGUAUGUUUAUGCAGAUGCAAUGUUUUCAAA